AGAUGUGAGGGUGAUCUGAAUGCAAAACGUCAUAAUGUUAUCAGGACUGAUUGCCUCACCUGGCUGCCUGUGAGAGUAGCCUCUGCCUCUCUUAUUGAUCCGUUUGCCUCCUGAAGCACAUGCUUGGUCAAAGAGCAUGCCUUCUUGAUAGGAGAGGACUGCUCUUUGGCCAGAUGUAUACUGUAGCUGAACUCCCCUGCUAGAAUAUUCUAAGAAGUUCUCAAUGGAAGUUUUAAAGAUGCCAGGGGAUGAGAAACACCUUACCUAUAUAGAUCAAAAACAGUAACCAUAUCCUCUUU
rnacentral:snRNA from 1 species